CUCUUCCUUCUAUCUAACCUACAUCUUCCCUCUUGAUGCUUGAAACUGUUUCCCCUUCUUCUAUCACCACAGACCCUGCUAAAGGGUCUGUCCCCUUCUUUCUUGUCAUUCCCCUUUAGAUACUGACAGGCCGCUCUCAGGUCACCUCGCAGCCUUCCCUUCCCCAGCUCUCCUCCUGUCCCCAUAGGAGAGGUGUUCCAUCCCUUAGUUCAUAUUUGUGGCCCUUCUCUGGACAUGCUCCAACAGGUCUGUGUCUUUCCGGUACCGAGGGCUCCACACCUUGAUGCAGUACUCCAGGUGAGGCCUCACCUGACCUGAGUAGAGGGCUGGGAUCACCUCCCUCGACCUGCAGGGCAGUCCCUUCUCUAUUGUACUGCAUUCAACUGCUGGCAGUGGAGAACUGCGGUGCCCCCAAGUGGUGCAAGAACUCUUGAGCCACUCUUUGCGGCUCUUUGUGGAUGCAGCAGAAAACAGGGGAAGGUAGCAGGAAUCCACAUCCCACUGCUACGGGAAAAGCACAGCACCUGAUCGCCUGCCGAUCCUUGCCCAGAUGCUGCUCAGCGAUGAGAAGCCAUAUUUGCAGGAUUGGCUCAGAACCCAGCUUUGCUGACUGGCUGCUGGUUGCCCCAAGAGGCUGCCCCUCGCUUAUUUCCUCGGUCGGUUUUACGUCCGAGCCCGCCCCGGGACCACGGACAGCUUUUGGUGGCGCGCGGUGCUGGCGUGGAGCGGCUCCGGGGUCACGCCUGGCGGCACGCGACCAGCUUUCCUAGUAGCUGUUUAACGGGCUCUUCCAACCUGCCUGUCCUGUCCCGGGCGACCGAGCUCCUUCACGUCGCGGUGCCUCAGGGCUCCGGGCGCCCCGCCGCGCGCUGCAGAAAUCGUACAACGGAGCGGGAAGCGAGCAGGAAAUCGUAUCGUCUCAGACCGAGGCGGGAAAAGGCACCGCCGCCUGCUCCCCUGCCGAUCUUUGCGCGGAUUCCGCUUGAGCAAUGGAAAGCCGCGCGUCCCGUAAUGCCCCGGAACACAGCUUCGGUGACUGGUUCCCCGAACGGACUGAUGGGGGGGAAAAACAGCGCCGCCUGCUCACCUGCCGAUCCUUGCCUGGGUGCUGCUCGAGCAACGGAAGGCCACCUGUCCCGGAGUGCCCCGGAACCCAGCUUCAGUGGCCGGUUGCCCGAACAGGUAAGCACACCGUAUGCGUACAAAUCUUUCCCCGUUGCGUAG
rnacentral:lncRNA from 1 species